rnacentral:rRNA from 1 species
GACGAACGCUGGCGGCGUGCUUAACACAUGCAAGUCGAACGGAAAGGCCCUGCUUUUGUGGGGUGCUCGAGUGGCGAACGGGUGAGUAACACGUGUGUAACCUGCCCUUGUCUUUGGGAUAACUUCAGGAAACUGGGGCUCAUACCGGAUAUGAGCUCUUGCUGCAUGGUGGGGGUUAGAAAGUUUCGGCGGUUGGGGAUGGACUCGCGGCUUAUCAGCUUGUUGGUGGGGUAGUGGCUUACCAAGGCUUUGACGGGUAGCCGGCCUGGGAGGGUGACCGGCCACAUUGGGACUGAGGUACGGCCCAGACUCCUACGGGAGGCAGCAGUGGGGAAUAUUGCACAAUGGGCGGAAGCCUGAUACAGCAGCGCCGCGUGCGGGAUGACGGCCUUCGGGUUGUAAACCGCUUUCGCCUGUGACGAAGCGUGAGUGACGGUAAUGGGUAAAGAAGCACCGGCUAACUACGUG